rnacentral:tRNA from 3 species
GCCGAGGUGGCGAAAUUGGCACACGCACUACCUUGAGGUGGUAGCGCUCGCAAGAGCAUGGAGGUUCGAGUCCUCUCCUCGGCACCA